GCUCCUAAAAUGAGCAAAUAAGCUGUGCAUCAUCUCUGUGAUUUGGGAAGGAAAUGACUGAAUAUGAUGAAGCCAGUUGAUGAAGAUAUCAAUUGAAUGGCCACCGAGUGCAUCACUGCUACCUGAACCCAUCAGUUAUCUUCUGUGAAGACUGCAUUCACAAACCGCUCUACUGCGACAGCUCAGAUGUUACGGCCUGUAAAAGUAAACAUCACAGCUAAACAACGAGAGCUAGUUGUGGUGGGAUUCUUUUGGCCAAUAUCCCCAACAAGAAUCAAUGACAUCUAGACCAGGUGGAGUGUGAGGAGGACCGUCAGAGACUCCAGCCAGCCGAGCCAUGGAUUGCUCUCACUGUUACCAUCAGGCAGACGUUAUCACAGAACCUACACCAGCAGACAGUGAGACAAGUUCCUUUCACAGGCAAUCAGACUGAACUGAACUCAUACCAGUAAAACCAUACACACCCCACCAACCUCAUAUGCCCUGCACUCUUAUCAGUUAUGCUGACUGGACUCACCCUGACAUUCUGUUUGCACUAAUUCAUACCGUGCUUUACUGCAGAGAUGUAUGUGUACUGUGAUUAUUAUUGUUUUCAAUUCAUGCUCUUUGUAUAGCAUAAUUUUUAACAUAUAUUGUUCUCUACCUGACUUGAGUCCCUUAUAUAUGUGUGUUGCAUAUAUAUAUAUAUAUUCAGAAUUUGUAUUUCAUAUAUAUUCAUGAAUUAAUUCAUUUGUCAUCCAUACUGUCACGCUGCAGUCUGCACCCAAGACUUUCAUCACCUGUAUACUUGUGUUCAUUGUAUUGUGACAAUAAAGAUAUUUGAUUUAAAUUA